AGGGGGCGAAGCUACCAUGCGCGUCGAACGGUAACAGGAAGAAGCUUGCUUCUUUGCUGACGAGUGGCGGACGGGUGAGUAAUGCUUAGGGAUCUGCCCAGAGGUGGGGGACAACAGUUGGAAACGACUGCUAAUACCGCAUGAUGCCUACGGGCCAAAGGGGGCUUCGGCUCUCGCCUUUGGAGGAACCUAAGUGAGAUUAGCUAGUUGGUGAGGUAAUGGCUCACCAAGGCGACGAUCUCUAGCUGGUCUGAGAGGAUGAUCAGCCACACUGGAACUGAGACACGGUCCAGACUACUACGGGAGGCAGCAGUGGGGAAUAUUGCACAAUGGGGGAAACCCUGAUGCAGCCAUGCCGCGUGUGUGAAGAAGGCCUUCGGGUUGUAAAGCACUUUCAGCAGUGAGGAAAGGUUGUUGGUUAAUACCCAAUAGCUGUGACGUUAACUGCAGAAGAAGCACCGGCUAACUCCGUGCCAGCAGCCGCGGUAAUACGGAGGGUGCGAGCGUUAAUCGGAAUUACUGGGCGUAAAGCGCAUGCAGGCGGUCUGUUAAGCCAGAUGUGAAAGCCCGGGGCUCAACCCCGGAAUAGCAUUUGGAACUGGCAGACUAGAGUUUUGUAGAGGGGGGUAGAAUUUCAGGUGUAGCGGUGAAAUGCGUAGAGAUCUGAAGGAAUACCAGUGGCGAAGGCGGCCCCCUGGACAAAAACUGACGCUCAGAUGCGAAAGCGUGGGUAGCAAACAGGAUUAGAUACCCUGGUAGUCCACGCCGUAAACGAUGUCAACUAGUUGCUUGUAGCUUUUACGCUGUGGGUGACGGAGCUAACGCAUUAAGUUGACCGCCUGGGGAGUACGGCCGCAAGGUUAAAACUCAAAUGAAUUGACGGGGGCCCGCACAAGCGGUGGAGCAUGUGGUUUAAUUCGAUGCAACGCGAAGAACCUUACCAUCCCUUGACAUCCAGAAGAAUUUUUCUAGAGAUUAGAUUAGUGCCUUCG
rnacentral:rRNA from 1 species